GACGAACGCUGGCGGCAUGCCUAAUACAUGCAAGUCGAGCGGAGUUGAUGGAAAGCUUGCUUUCCUGAUACUUAGCGGCGGACGGGUGAGUAACACGUAGGCAACCUGCCCUCAAGCUUGGGACAACUACCGGAAACGGUAGCUAAUACCGAAUACUUGUUUUCUUCGCCUGGAGAGAACUGGGAAGACGGAGCAAUCUGUCUGUUGGGGAUGGGCCUGCGGCGCAUUAGCUAGUUGGUGAGGUAAUGGCUCACCAAGGCGACGAUGCGUAGCCGACCUGAGAGGGUGAUCGGCCACACUGGGACUGAGACACGGCCCAGACUCCUACGGGAGGCAGCAGUAGGGAAUCUUCCGCAAUGGGCGAAAGCCUGACGGAGCAAUGCCGCGUGAGUGAUGAAGGUUUUCGGAUCGUAAAGCUCUGUUGCCAGGGAAGAACGCUUCGGAGAGUAACUGCUCCCAAGGUGACGGUACCUGAGAAGAAAGCCCCGGCUAACUACGUGCCAGCCGCCGCGGUAA
rnacentral:rRNA from 1 species